rnacentral:sRNA from 1 species
GUUUGUGCAUAAUAAAGUUAAAUCAACGUUUAGUCAAAACAAUUUUCAAAUGCCCCAAGCUGGCAGCUCAAUAUCGAGCGACGUUCGUUUUCUGAAUUCCAAAUGAAGUCAUGAGCAGCAGAUUGUAUGAAAACCAACAGCAACAACGAAGGCAGCAGCUAAACAACAAGACAAAAGUCGUUGUCGCAUUAUUACAACAAGAAAAGCUGUAAAAUAAAAAAAAAAAG